rfam:Candidatus Haloredivivus sp. G17 Contig12, whole genome shotgun sequence.
GCCAAAUCCUACUCAAGUCUAGAUAGUGGAUGGCUCGGUUCGAGAAGCCGAUGAAGGACGUGGUAAGCUGCGAUAUGCUUGGGCGAGGUGCAUGCAGCCUUAGAGCCCAAGAUUUCCUAAUGCGACUUCGUAGGUCGCUUCGGCGAUCUGGCCCGUCAGGGUCGGGAACGCGGUGAACUGAAACAUCUAAGUAGCCGCAGGAAAAUAAAGAAACAUUCGAUUCCCUUAGUAGCGGCGAGCGGAAGGGGAAUUAGCGCAAACUGAACGCCUUGAAGUGAUUCAAGGUGGAUGUGGUUCGCCCGUCUUUGGAACCGACUUUCUCAGGUGAACUCUGCUGGAAUGCAGGACCAUAGAGAGUGACAGUCUCGUAACCUACAGAAAGAACGUUCUUUGACGUGUGCAUGAGUACCAUGGGUUGGAAAUCCCGUGGGAAAACGGAAGGCACAUUCUUCCAACGCUAAAUACUUCUCGAGUCCGAUAGCGUACUAAGUACCGUGAGGGAAAGCUGAAAAGUACCCCUAGAAAGGGGGUUAAAAGAGCCUCAAACUAUCUAGUGUUAGGCUAGUUAUGGCAUUCAAGCGUCGAUACAGGUGAAAGAAUCUGCCGAGAGGCUUUAGUAUGAAUCCUGUGGAGCAGUGUCAUAGCAUCCGUUUUGAAAAACGGGGCAGGGAGUUUGUCGCCGUGGCAAGACUAAGUCGUUUACGCGAUGGAGUCGUAGCGAAAGCAAGAAGCCCGCAGCAGUUUUCUGUGAGGGGCCUCGUGUUAACGCGCGAGAAGUCACCGCGACAUGAUCCGAAACCGGUCGAUCCUGGCCUGGUCCGGCUGAAGCGGCGCGAAAGCUCCGUGGAAGGCCUCACCGUUGCUGCGUUACAAGCGCUCGGGUGAACUGGGUCAAGGGGUGAAAUGUCAAUCGAGAUCGGUGAUGGCUGGUUCUUCUCGAAAUGGAUCGAAGUCCAGCCUCGAGCGAGACGGCCUAAGAGGUAAAGCUACUGAUUCUGGGUUCUGGAGGUUUACCUCCAGACCCGGAGUCAAACUCUGAACUCUUAGGCGUUGCAGACCUCGGGAGUGAGGGACAGUGCGUAAGGUACUGUUCCUAGAGGGAAACAACCCAGAGCAUGGUUAAGGUCCCACAAUUUCUGACUAAGUGUCAUUGAGGAUGUCCUGGUUCUCAGACAGCGGGGAGGUUAGCUUAGAAGCAGCUACCCUUUAAAGAUAGCGUAACAGCUCACCCGUUGAGAGCUGGGGCGCCGUAAAUGGACGGGGCUCAAGUCAGAAACCGAUACCAUGUCCGCGAGAGCGGGUUAGAGAAGCGAUCUGCAUGGGUGGAAGCAUGGCCGUGAGGUCGUGUGGACCGUGUAGAUACGAGAAUCCUGCCGGCAGUAUCAUCAUUAAGAACAGUGAGAACCUGUUCCACCGUAAGAGUAAGGGUUCCUCUGCAAUGAUUAUCAGCAGAGGGUUAGUCGGUCCUAAUCCACACCGUAAUUCGAAUGUGGAGAAUAGGGAAACAGGUUAAUAUUCCUGUACCUAAUCACAUUUUCUGACGUUUUGGGAUAGCGGAAGCUGCGCCACCGCGCAGUCUAAGCAAGUAAUGCGGACGAGCGUAAUGCAUCGACUCCGUGAACUUGUGAAUGGCCCGGGAAAAAUCCCAGGUUUCCGCAAGUCCUGGAAUCCUUGAAAAAGUGUGAAAGACCGUACCCAGAACCAGCACAGGUACUCUGGCUGAGUAGGCUAAGGUGUUCGGGUAUAACGCAGCUUAGGGAAUUCGGCAAGUUAGCCCCGUACCUUCGGUAGAUGGGGUGCCUAUCCACUUGAUUGGAUAGGUUGCAAUUACUAGGGGAGCUCGACUGUUUACUAAAAACACAGCCGACUGCUACUCCGAAAGGACUUGUAUAGUCGGCGACUCUUGCCCAGUGCCAGCACCUGAAACCUCCGUACAAGGAGAAGAAGGGCUGGUAAACGGCGGCGGUAACUAUGACCGUCUUAAGGUAGCGUAGUCCCUUGCCAAUUAAUUGUUGGCCCGCAUCAAUAGAGUAACGAGGCUCCUACUGUCCCAAGCUGUGGCCCGGUGAACCCGCCGUACCGGCGCAUAGGCCGGUGACUCCUGGUGGGAAGCGAAGACCCUUUGAACCUUUACUGCAGUCUAUUGUUGCGGUGGGGUUCCAAGUGUGAAGUGUAGGUAGUAGACAUUACAGAGACGCAGUCGCAAGGCUGUCGCCCAGUCGACUAUGGGACACUACCCUCUUGGAACCCCGCUGCUUACUUCUACGGAAGGACAUCAAUAGCUGGGCAGUUUAGCUGGGGCGGCAUCCCUCUGAUAACGAAUCAGAGGGGUCCAAAAGUAGGCUCAACCCGUUCAGAAAUCGGGUGUAGAGGACAAAGCCAAAAGCCUGCUUGACUGGAAUCCUGAUAGUAGGGUUUCCAGGCGCGAAAGCGUGGCUUAGCGAACGCCUAUAGCCAAAAUCUUUUGUGAGGCUUAGGCCUGACAAGAAAGGUACUCAAGGGAUAACUGGAUUGUCUGAGGCGCGAGUUCACAUCGACCCUCAGGCUUGUUACUUCGAUGUCGGCUCUCCGUAUCCUGGCUGUGCAACAGCAGCCAAGGGUGAGGGUGUUCACCUAUUAAAACGGAUCGUGAGCUGGGUUUAGAUCGGCGUGAGCCAGAUCUGUUGCUAUCUGCCAGGAGUGUGUUUGUGGUCUGAGAGGAAAGUCCGGACAGUACGAAAGGAACCCCGGACUGAGGCCUCUGGUGUAUCUGUCAUCCGGAAGGGUGUUGCAGAGUAGCUACGCCUCGCAGAUGUAAGAGCUGAAAGCAUCUAAGCUCGAAAGUCUCCUCAAAAAGAGACCGCGUCCGCGCCCAUACAAGAUGGGUUGAUAGAGUGGCGGUGUAAGAUCCAAGGCAACGAGGAUUUCAGCCUACCACUACUAAGAGCGAAUCUCGGGUUUGGC